ACACAAUGCAAGGUAAUUCCCAUGAGCCUGAUCGCCAGUUAAUGAGUGCCACUGUAUCGCGGAAGAAACGUACAGGAUGCCUCAUUGAAACAACUCCCAAAGGAUUCAAAAGAGUCGAUGAUCGUCCUCUAGCAGCACAAACAAGACUCAAACCUAGACUGUGGCAGUUGGCUUGCCACAGUAGAUAUUCAAAGGGUGCCAACAGGGGGAGACAAGGAGCUCUAUUAUACCCCUCAGGCAGAAGGAGAACGCACCUCGGUACAAAGGACUGGACUGGAGGACCAGGUGAUGCUAAUCAGCAGCCAGUGACUAGGGACCAUUGGGCAACAUGAGAUGAGCAUGGUAGAGGACCCGAGUGCAAUGGCUAUGAACACCAAUGUGGCAAAGCUGGAAGGACACACUGGAGUGAAGGUCUGGAAAGAAUACAGUACAACUAUAAGGGAAGUGAUUUUAAUUGCUAUUUAUUUUGAGACAAACACAUCACUGCUUUUAAAGAGAAAGGGACCAAGUCAAAUGGACAGUUUUUAAAGGGGACAGGUGCAUAAUCAUUGUUUUAUCAAAUUGGGACUGGUCAACCAAGUGACAAUUUCUAGAUGUGAGCGCGACAGGAGAAACCUUUAGUUGACAUGGACGGAUGUUCGGUCGCCAGGCCGGUGGUUGAAUAACACAGAGGUGAAGGAUGGAAGAGACAGGCUGCCCAAACCACCUCCACACUCCCCCUGGGUGAAAGGACUCAUGUUAAUGCACUCAUUCUUAGAAUUCUAUUGCCUGUCAGAUUUCAGA